GUGCUCGCUUCAGGAGCACAUAUACUAAAAUUGGAAUGAAACGGAAAAGAUUAGCAUUGCCC
rnacentral:snRNA from 1 species